rnacentral:other from 1 species
GACAACCUCGGGUGUUUGAGCUUUAGUUUUGAACCUACAGUUACUUUAAACGGGAUUCCUAUAUUCUCAUGCCUAUGUCAGGCCUCCUUGCAGUGGAAGACAGAAGUAUGUAUGCGGUUGCCCACCUAGAUUCGUUCUAGGAGUCAAAAAGAGCUCGGCAUUUCGGGGGUUU